AUUGAACGCUGGCGGCAGGCCUAACACAUGCAAGUCGAACGAGUGGCGGACGGGUGAGUAAUGUCUGGGAAACUGCCCGAUGGAGGGGGAUAACUAAUGGGAAAGGUAGCUAAUACCGCAUACCAUGGGAUGUGCCGCGAUGGGAUUAGCUAGUAGGUGGGGUAACGGCUGACCUCGGCGACGAUCCCUAGCUGGUCUGAGAGGAUGACCAGCCACACUGGAACUGAGACACGGUCCAGACGCCGACGUGAGGAAGCAGUGGGGAAUAUUGCACAAUGGGCGCAAGCCUGAUGCAGACAUGCCGCGUGUAUGAAGAAGGCCGUCGGGUUGUAAAGUACUUUUAGCGAGGAGGCGUUACUCGCAGAAGAAGCACCGGCUAACGCCGUGCCAGCCGCCGCGGUAAUUC
rnacentral:rRNA from 1 species